AGAGUUUGAUCCUGGCUCAGGAUGAACGCUAGCUACAGGCUUAACACAUGCAAGUCGAGGGGCAGCAUGGUCUUAGCUUGCUAAGGCCGAUGGCGACCGGCGCACGGGUGAGUAACACGUAUCCAACCUGCCGUCUACUCUUGGACAGCCUUCUGAAAGGAAGAUUAAUACAAGAUGGCAUCAUGAGUCCGCAUGUUCACAUGAUUAAAGGUAUUCCGGUAGACGAUGGGGAUGCGUUCCAUUAGAUAGUAGGCGGGGUAACGGCCCACCUAGUCUUCGAUGGAUAGGGGUUCUGAGAGGAAGGUCCCCCACAUUGGAACUGAGACACGGUCCAAACUCCUACGGGAGGCAGCAGUGAGGAAUAUUGGUCAAUGGGCGAGAGCCUGAACCAGCCAAGUAGCGUGAAGGAUGACUGCCCUAUGGGUUGUAAACUUCUUUUAUAAAGGAAUAAAGUCGGGUAUGCAUACCCGUUUGCAUGUACUUUAUGAAUAAGGAUCGGCUAACUCCGUGCCAGCAGCCGCGGUAAUACGGAGGAUCCGAGCGUUAUCCGGAUUUAUUGGGUUUAAAGGGAGCGUAGAUGGAUGUUUAAGUCAGUUGUGAAAGUUUGCGGCUCAACCGUAAAAUUGCAGUUGAUACUGGAUAUCUUGAGUGCAGUUGAGGCAGGCGGAAUUCGUGGUGUAGCGGUGAAAUGCUUAGAUAUCACGAAGAACUCCGAUUGCGAAGGCAGCCUGCUAAGCUGCAACUGACAUUGAGGCUCGAAAGUGUGGGUAUCAAACAGGAUUAGAUACCCUGGUAGUCCACACGGUAAACGAUGAAUACUCGCUGUUUGCGAUAUACAGCAAGCGGCCAAGCGAAAGCGUUAAGUAUUCCACCUGGGGAGUACGCCGGCAACGGUGAAACUCAAAGGAAUUGACGGGGGCCCGCACAAGCGGAGGAACAUGUGGUUUAAUUCGAUGAUACGCGAGGAACCUUACCCGGGCUUAAAUUGCAGAUGAAUUACGGUGAAAGCCGUAAGCCGCAAGGCAUCUGUGAAGGUGCUGCAUGGUUGUCGUCAGCUCGUGCCGUGAGGUGUCGGCUUAAGUGCCAUAACGAGCGCAACCCUUGUUGUCAGUUACUAACAGGUUCUGCUGAGGACUCUGACAAGACUGCCAUCGUAAGAUGUGAGGAAGGUGGGGAUGACGUCAAAUCAGCACGGCCCUUACGUCCGGGGCUACACACGUGUUACAAUGGGGGGUACAGAGGGCCGCUACCACGCGAGUGGAUGCCAAUCCCCAAAACCUCUCUCAGUUCGGACUGGAGUCUGCAACCCGACUCCACGAAGCUGGAUUCGCUAGUAAUCGCGCAUCAGCCACGGCGCGGUGAAUACGUUCCCGGGCCUUGUACACACCGCCCGUCAAGCCAUGGGAGCCGGGGGUACCUGAAGUGCGUAACCGCGAGGAGCGCCCUAGGGUAAAACUGGUGACUGGGGCUAAGUCGUAACAAGGUAGCCGUACCGGAAGGUGCGGCUG
rnacentral:rRNA from 1 species